UUGCACCUUAUCUUAGCGGCGGACGGGUGAGUAAUGCUUAGGAAUCUGCCUAUUAGUGGGGGACAACAUUCCGAAAGGAAUGCUAAUACCGCAUACGUCCUACGGGAGAAAGCAGGGGAUCUUCGGACCUUGCGCUAAUAGAUGAGCCUAAGUCGGAUUAGCUAGUUGGUGGGGUAAAGGCCUACCAAGGCGACGAUCUGUAGCGGGUCUGAGAGGAUGAUCCGCCACACUGGGACUGAGACACGGCCCAGACUCCUACGGGAGGCAGCAGUGGGGAAUAUUGGACAAUGGGGGGAACCCUGAUCCAGCCAUGCCGCGUGUGUGAAGAAGGCCUUAUGGUUGUAAAGCACUUUAAGCGAGGAGGAGGCUACUGAGACUAAUACUCUUGGAUAGUGGACGUUACUCGCAGAAUAGGCACCGGCUAACUCUGUGCCAGCAGCCGCGGUAAUACAGAGGGUGCGAGCGUUAAUCGGAUUUACUGGGCGUAAAGCGUGCGUAGGCGGCUUUUUAAGUCGGAUGUGAAAUCCCCGAGCUUAACUUGGGAAUUGCAUUCGAUACUGGGAAGCUAGAGUAUGGGAGAGGAUGGUAGAAUUCCAGGUGUAGCGGUGAAAUGCGUAGAGAUCUGGAGGAAUACCGACGGCGAAGGCAGCCAUCUGGCCUAAUACUGACGCUGAGGUACGAAAGCAUGGGGAGCAAACAGGAUUAGAUACCCUGGUAGUCCAUGCCGUAAACGAUGUCUACUAGCCGUUGGGGCCUUUGAGGCUUUAGUGGCGCAGCUAACGCGAUAAGUAGACCGCCUGGGGAGUACGGUCGCAAGACUAAAACUCAAAUGAAUUGACGGGGGCCCGCACAAGCGGUGGAGCAUGUGGUUUAAUUCGAUGCAACGCG
rnacentral:rRNA from 1 species